rnacentral:rRNA from 1 species
AACGAACGCUGGCGGCACGUUUUAAGCAUGCAAGUCGAACGGCAGUGGGGGCAACCCCAUGAGAGUGGCGAACGGGUGAGUAACACGUAGGUGAUCUGCCUUUGGGUUGGGGAUAGCUUGUGGAAACACAGGGUAAUACCGAAUGAGCUGACGAGGCUUUGGCCAUGUUAGUAAAGGUGCUACGGCACCGCCUAGAGCGGAGCCUGCUGCUGAUUAGCUAGUUGGUGGGGUAAAGGCCUACCAAGGCGACGAUCAGUAGCCGGCCUGAGAGGGUGUACGGCCACACUGGAACUGAGACACGGUCCAGACUCCUACGGGAGGCAGCAGCUAAGAAUCUUCCGCAAUGGGCGAAAGCCUGACGGAGCGAUGCCGCGUGAUCGAUGAAGGUCGAGAGAUUGUAAAGAUCUUUUCCAACUGAGGAAUAAGUGGACCAGGGAAUGGGUUCAUGAUGACGUUAAGUUGGGAAUAAGCCCCGGCUAAUUACGUGCCAGCCGCCGCUGUAA